CGUGCGGUGGGCACAGAGCGAACUAUUCUUUCGCCUUUUACUAAAGAAUACCGUGUGCUCGCCGCUAUAAGCGGCAUACGCCUAUUUUUGGAGGGUCCUCCCUUUAUGGAGAAACAAAACAGGAAGCUAUAAUGCAACCAUGCCAGAAGAAAAAUAGCGGUACUAUUGGGCUCCUAUUCCAUACAUGGCAUCUGAAGAAUGGGAACGAAUUAGAUAGGUUGUCGUGCCAGAAUGUCGGAAGUGUAAGGAAAAACAUUUUGGACCCUUUUUAACUCCGACCAAGACUUAUUUUUGGAUCCAGAGAGAGGGGACACGUACGGAAACAUUGUCCUUAUACUGGAAAAAGAAGGAAAGCAGAUAUGAUCGGAGAAGAAGUAUAUACCUCCACGUCACCAAAAUGAUGGAUUUCAGUUAGACGAGGAUUUUGGACUACAACUAAGAAAACUUCAUAUUACGGGAGAAAGUAGUCAACCUACAAAUGAUUGUAUGCCAAGGACUAACGAAGAUAGUAGCGAUGAGGAUGACACGGAAAACCUGUUUGAAGAAGAUACCGAUACUUCUAAGCCUUUCCGUUUCUUUUGCUUACAAUCAGGUCAUGUUUUAUAAGUGUGUGUAUGGAAACCAGAGGCAAAAUUUGAAAUGUUAGGAAAAGGGAGAGAAAAUAGGAAAGGGGUAAGAUAAUGAAUCUUAGAAAGGAGAGUAGGAUGUAUAUUUUGAGUAUAUUCAUGUUUCUUAUUCA